rnacentral:rRNA from 1 species
CAGCUCGUGUCGUGAGAUGUUGGGUUAAGUCCCGCAACGAGCGCAACCCCUAUUGUUAGUUGCCAUCAUUCAGUUGGGCACUCUAGCGAGACUGCCGGUAAUAAACCGGAGGAAGGUGGGGAUGACGUCAAAUCAUCAUGCCCCUUAUGACCUGGGCUACACACGUGCUACAAUGGUUGGUACAACGAGUUGCGAGUCGGUGACGGCGAGCUAAUCUCUUAAAGCCAAUCUCAGUUCGGAUUGUAGGCUGCAACUCGCCUACAUGAAGUCGGAAUCGCUAGUAAUCGCGGAUCAGCACGCCGCGGUGAAUACGUUCCCGGGCCUU